rnacentral:rRNA from 1 species
UGGAUGGAGGGUUUGAUCCUGGCUCAGGGUGAACGCUGGCGGCGUGCUUGACACAUGCAAGUCGAACGGUAUGUGGCAACACAUAGAGUGGCGAACGGGUGAGUAACACGUGGGAACG